CGGCGGACGGGUGAGUAACGCGUGGGUAACCUGCCUCAUACAGGGGGAUAACAGUUAGAAAUGACUGCUAAUACCGCAUAAGCGCACAGUACCACAUGGUACGGUGUGAAAAACUCCGGUGGUAUGAGAUGGACCCGCAUCUGAUUAGCUAGUUGGUGGGGUAACGGCCCACCAAGGCGACGAUCAGUAGCCGACCUGAGAGGGUGACCGGCCACAUUGGGACUGAGACACGGCCCAA
rnacentral:rRNA from 1 species